rnacentral:rRNA from 1 species
UACGGAGGGUGCGAGCGUUGUCCGGAAUCAUUGGGCGUAAAGGGCGCGUAGGUGGCUUCUUAAGCGUGCGGUGAAAGCCUGGGGCUCAACCCCGGGUCGGCCGUGCGAACUGGGGGGCUGGAGCACUGUAGAGGCAGGCGGAAUUCCUGGUGUAGCGGUGAAAUGCGUAGAUAUCAGGAGGAACACCGGUGGUGUAGACGGCUUACUGGACCAUAACUGACGCUGAGACACGGAAAGCGUGGGUAGCAAACAGG